GCGGCGGACGCUCGUCACACAUUCAUUGGAAAGUGCUAAGUACAGCUCCUGGACAGCUGCUAGAAUAUUUAUAAAUUCAUUAUCAACUCUCCAGGUCGUACCAUAAAUCGAGCAUCACUCCCCCUGUCACCUGCCUACACAGAGCGUUCACCAGUUGAAGAGGAGCCUAGAACAUCUCCACUGCCUGUACGAUCGAUUCUCGUGCACUGCUAGAGGCUGACCGAUUCCUGGCCUCCCGGUUCAUCAUUAAUGGGCAACAACAAUUAAACGGACCAGUCGCGGGCCUGAUUGUCAACUGUGGUCCGUUGUGUUGCAGUUCCGCUGUCGUCGGACCGUUCGCAUAUCGCCCUCACCGGAAGACGACGAUAGAUCGGUGGCGGGACAGGAUAGAGCGCGGCUGAACAAUUAAAAUUCAAUCAUUUGCAAGCGCACACCCUCUCGGUCGGUGGUUUUGCCUCCGGUAGCAAUAAGUGAGCGGCAAACGCUUCCGAUCCACCGUCACCAGAUCCGAGCGCGUUCUCAUCGGAUUUCUGUUUACCCCCGCCGGCUGUGUUCGUUCGGUGUGUGUGUGUGUGUGCGCGCGAUGCCGUUAUCGGUUUCGUUGGUGAAAUUAAAUUUUGGCUCAUCAGGGCCGAGCAGGUCGCACCGAACGGAACGCUGACUUACAGCAGUGCGUGUGCGUUUCAGCGAUUGCACCGGCUGCUGGGCGAUACCCUGACGCGUCAUUUUUGCUGUGCGUCAACAAAAUGGCUACCGAUGGCGUCCAGCUGGACGCUAUCGCCCAUUGUUCGCUGUGACGUAGCGCUAUCGCAAUCGGAGAAUCUUUCCGUCGAACUCGGAGCAAAGCACAGCUGUGAACCCCUCCCCGGGCAGUGAUAAUGUUUCUUUAUCGCGGUUUGUGCUUGAUGAAUUUUUGUGACGCAAAAUCGUCACACUCGCAUCGAUGUGUGUUUGUUUGAUGCGCUAAAUAGAUUUUAAUCACCGUAUCACAGUAUCAUCGGCCGUAGCUCCGGCUUGCGGAAAGCAAACCUGCAGUAACGAACUCGACCAGCGGACAGAACUACGAACUCGAUGUCCUCGAGUCAAUAGCCGCAUCCAGGGCUGGUGGAUGCAGUCACUGUCCACUGGGAGCAGCUCGGUCCGGCAGUGUACACACAGAUACCGAGCCUGAAACUGAUAGCACACUGUGGCCGGUACAAAUUACCCGAACUCGCACUGUUUGCACAUUCGUGCAUGCGUACGCAAUAAAGCACAGCCGUGCUAUUGACGGGGAGGGGGAUGGCAUCGCACAGGCUCAUCUGCCACAGCUGCCACAGCUACGAGCCCGUCGGCCCGUUACAGUCCUAGUACCAAUUUCGGUCCACUGGCACUCUGCUCGCCAUCGUCGUCGUCUGUUUGUUUGUUUCGUCCAGUUGUCCGAUCCCGUCUUUACUGUUGAUAUGGAUUCGAAAUUAUGCCCCCGAGCGUUCGGGAUGAGAUAUACAUACACACCCGACCCGACCAGCCCGAAACGUGGCUCGUCAAUAUCUGUGGCACCCGGUCGUCCCUAGCCCCCAGCCCUCACUCGCCAAACAAUUGGUUUUGCGUUUGAAGUUCCAGCCUGACAGGCUGCGCCCUGGUAAGGUACGGGCACACCCGGCCCACCUUAUCGGGCGCCGCCAGCGGGACCGUGUGUAGGUGAGUAGUUAACUUGUAUCCUUCGCCGUGAGGGGGCUGGGACUCUUGCCUGUUGAGGCCUGCGGCUAGGUGACUGCUAAAUUUCAAAAACGAUAUUCUUUCCAGCACGCGUCCAAUUGGCCCGACGUGCCCGGAUAUUGCAGGCACCGUUUUGGAGUGUGUUGUGAAAGUCUUCUUUAUUUUUGCAAUUUUUCAAACCGCUCAAACUAACGCAUCAAAAAGUGCUCGAUCCAGUGUGCCGAAAGAGCUUAUCUUCUCCAUCACGCGCGGGUUAAGGACCGCCCCAUCAAACGCACACUCAGUUUUGGUCCUUCGAACCGGAUCGUUUGGAUUUCGUAUUCGGCGUGUGUUUUCUUUGCAAUCAAACACAUAAAGCUAACACACGCACACUUACACGAAUGGGCAUAUGAGCGAAGGAUGUGGUUGUGGAGUAAAAUUGCGUGCUAGAAAUAUCUCAACUUCUUAGCCGGGGCAGUAAAAGAACAGCAAAAAAAAAAAAGGGGCAGCAAACGCCACAACCCUGAGCUCCCGCUCGAGCUGGCACAUCCAUAAUUCAUCCAUAAUCACUUCGUUCCGGGUCUUCACGGUGGGCCGAUGCUUCGGGUAAAGGCUGACAGUCAUAAUAACGGUCAAAGAAACAAUGCGCCUAGGCGUGAUGUCCUUAAUGAAGCGCCGUCUACACUCGUGAAGUGGGGGAAGUGAGUGGGAAACCUUUUUCCUUCUCCUGAAGUUUGCCUACAGCAGCCGUAUUGAAGUUAUGAUUUGGCUUUCGCUUAAUUUCAUCCCCAAUGCCUGCCGACCGUGUAGUUGCAGCUGGAGGUAAUUUAUUUCCCAUCUCAGACACCCGGGCUUAUGUCAGGUUCGUCAGGUUCGGGAAACGUAGCAAAAGGACGCAGGCCGACCUAAGGAUGCUCUAUAUGCGGGAAAACCACCUCAAAAAAGAAGGAACAGGCGAGAUCGAAAAACAAAAUGCACUGGGACGUGAAAACGUGCCCUCACGGUUAAGUCGAAUGCUGAAUUGUUGAUUUUUUCGCCCACCCGAAUUGUUGAUGUCUGGGGGUGGGGAGGGGGGGUGAAAAAAAGCCCCAGUGCAAUUCCCGGUGCUAAUGAAACGAAGGGACUAAAAGCGUAAAUUGAAAAGCGUCCUCCACCAAGUCCGUAAGUAACAAAUCGGAAAAUUGCUUCGAGUGUAUGGACUUUUUUUUGGGCCCUCCCGCCACGGCUCCCGAAAACAUUUCAACAAUACACAUUUAGUAACGGUUCGCCCAUUUUUGUACUUUUUUUUUUGUUGGGGGCAGACCGUGCGCUCGCGAUGAUGAUGGAUUGCGAAACGCGGGAAUGGCACUCGGUGGCGGUGUGCCAAGCUGUGUCUAGCACGGGACCCGUUCCCCCGACGGGGGGCCCAAGAGAUCGAUGGUGAUGGGCCAGGCAGGCCAGGCGGCCUAGGCUUUUUGGCGAACAGUGCCGGCAAACCGGCAGCACCACCCGGGCGUGGUGAUGAAUUAUUAAUAAUCUUCAGAAAGAAAUUACUUUCGAGCGGAAAGACGACCUCACCCCACCGACCGGAAAUCCGGAAUAUCUUCCUCUGCCCGGCCUGGUUGCCCUGCCACUGUUUGGGUUUUAUUUUGGGCAAAUGUUUGGGGUGGGGCUUUGGAGUUUUGCGGAAAAUAGGUUCUUUGGAUGCUGUGGAGCUGUGUGAUAUGCUCCGGCAACACCGAAUCAAUCGGGGGGGACUUGUGAUAAAAUUUCUUGCAGAUAAAGCCGACACUGACGCUGAAGCUGUCGCGGCAACGACUAGCGGCAAAGGUACUGCCGGUGUGGGGGCAGUGGCAUGUAGCAGUUUCCGGAACUUUGCCGGCUCAAGAAGCCCAUCCAUUGAGAUCCAGCAGCAGCAGCAGCACUGGGGCGCGCACCGAAGGCCACACGGCGUAAGUACUCGGGCCAGACGGAGCAAAUUUGUCACCCGCAACCAAUCUCGACUGCAUUACCGAAAGGAAUUCAAAUUAGUUACCGAUUAUGGAAGCGCGUAAGCUCCUGCCGACUCCGACACAAAUCGCUUUCAGCAAAAAUGGUCCGCUUCCCGAUAUUGGCAGCUUUGAUACUGUCUUUUUCUUGCGCUGUUGUUGUCACGCUCUGCUCAUUCUCCACCGUAAAACGGGCGAGAGAGUAAUGAUUAAUAGGGUACGUUGCGCGAAACCGUGUGCGAACAUCGUCGGGUAAUCUCGCCCCCCCCCUCUUUCCCUCCUCCAGGCUUGACGGUAGACAUCAUAAAUCUUCAUUAAAUUAUGUGAUCUGAUGAAAUUUCCUGCGCUCCUUCCAUGGCAUAAACUGAGGUGAUGCAGAAUACAAGAUAAAAAAAAUUCACACAACAUGCACCUACACGGUGACGAAGUCACCAAGGUCCUUGGAUUGAUCUUAUCGCAUUGGGAGAACUCUCUGUUAGAAGGUAGUUGGGCAAAUCUUGAUUAGAAACCUAAAAGACGCGCGAGAAUGAGUCCCCGCAGGCGUACCUACCUUUGCAAACCUUCCGGUGCGUGAUCGGCUUGGUGGCGUCACGGUAGAAUC